UACGUAGGGGGCUAGCGUUGUCCGGAAUCAUUGGGCGUAAAGCGCGCGUAGGCGGCCCGGUAAGUCCGCUCUGAAAGUCCAGGGCUCAACCCUGGAAUGCGGGUGGAUACUGCCGGGCUAGAAUCCGGAAGAGGCGAGUGGAAUUCCUGGUGUAGCGGUGAAAUGCGUAGAGAUCAGGAAGAACAUCGGUGGCGAAGGCGCUCUGCUGGACCAUAACUGACACUCAGGGACGAAAGCUAGGGGAGCGAAUGGG
rnacentral:rRNA from 1 species